rnacentral:rRNA from 1 species
GUUCAACUGCUCAUCUAUAAAGUUGCUGCCAAGCUGGCCGGUUGGAAGGGAAAACUGCUCACCAAGACUGGGCGCAUAACUCUGAUCAAUGCAGUCGUCACCUCCAUCACCACCUACUACCUUACAAUGUUUGUCCCAUCUAAGUGACUGAUCAAACGCAUUGACAAGCUCCGGAGAGGGUUCCUUUGGCGCGGCGAGGACGAAGCUGCUGGAAGCCAUUGUGUAGUGAAUUGGAAACAAGUGUGUUCCCCGAAAAGAUUUGCGGGCCUGGGCAUCAAGAAUUUGUAG